GCCAUUUAUAUUCUCUCCCAGGAACACGUGUCGUCCUUUCUGUACUGAGCUGCGCUGGAGUCAGUCGCUCGCUGGGCGCUGCAUCAAGGUCAUGGGGGGAUGGAGCCUCCCUAGCGGGAUGCGCGGCCCCACUGCCUAUGGGAGUUGCAGGGCAGUGAGCAGCAGAUGGGAGUCAUGUUCAGGUUUGAAGCAACAACUUGCCAACAUAGUGGCCUCCUAUUGCUGAGUGAGUAACAAGGAAUCCAAGGGGCCACAGAUGGAGCAAAAGGACCAUGCUAUAGGUUGUAUGCCCAGAGCAACUCCUUCUCUGUAUAUUUGUAUUUAUACAUGUGGGAGGAGUUUCCAUAUAGAUUCCCUUAGACAGUACAGUAUACUAUAAGGGUAUAGCUUAUUGUGUGCCCAGAACAUUCCUUCUCUGUAUAUUUGUAUUUAUACAUACGAGAGUGGGAAUUGCCAUGUUAUUUCCCCUAGACAGUACAGUAUGAGGAUUUAGCUUGUGCCCAGAACAUUCCUUCUCAGGAAGCCAUAGGAGCAAAUGGAAGGCUGGAGGUCUGGCAAGGCAUUUUGCUAAAAAUAUCUGUUUCCAUCCUGGAGAAUGUAAUUGCAUGUUCCUUAAUUUUAUUUUCUCCUGUAGAUAUUAUUUCCUAAUAAAUCAUUUGUCUAUUG